AAGGUCUUAAAACGCACGUGUAAAAGCCAAGUGCUUUUAAAAUGAAGGACGGGGAGGGGGCGUCAUGCAAAAAAAUAAGUUUUGUAUAAGUGUAUUUAUUGAUUUGAACCCCAAUAUAUGCUCGACUUUGAUUGUAGUAGGUGUUGACUUGUGGAAAAUAUUUCAUAUUUUUCUAAUUUAACACUCUAAUGAAAAGUAUCAAUGUGGAGAAAAAGUUUAGAUGGUAAGAUGCAUAUCCAAUGUAAGUAAAGUGAUUUGUUCUCCCGAAAUAUUAUUCCAAACCAUUGUGUACAAUAGCAAUUUGACUGUUAUGCAUGUUAACAUUUGUUAACUAGUAAACAUAUGAUUUAGUAUUUGCAAACUGUUCUUGCUGUAAAC
rnacentral:lncRNA from 1 species